AUGCGAUAAGUAGUGUGAAUUGCAUAAUUUUGUGAAUCAUCGAAUCUUUGAACGCAAAUUGCACUCCCUGGUAUUCCGGGGAGUAUGCCUGUUUGAGGGUCGUUAGAAUAAAAAUCGAGGCGUCGCUCUUUUUUUAAGGGUGAUCGCGUCGGAAUUGAGCCGUCUUUCAAAUGUUAAUUCAUGUCAAAGUGGCUUAAAAUUCAUCCAUCCGGUACGAUUAAAGCGUAUUUAAGAUCAAUUUUGAUUAAGAACGCGCGAUGACGUACCAUCUCAUGUAGUACGUUUGACCUGGCGUCGUCAGGAUCAUUCGUAUACGAUACUUAACUUUUGACCUCAAAUCAGGUAAGAAUACCCGCUGAACUUAA
rnacentral:misc_RNA from 1 species